rnacentral:tRNA from 2 species
CGCGGUGUAGCUCAACGGCCGAGAGCGUUCGCUUGAUAAGCGAAAGACGACGGUUCGAUUCCCUCCGCCGCGA